CCCAGCCAACUUUGGGACCUUUGGAUAUCUGGUCCCUGCAGCCAGAAUACUACUGUCCUGCCUGUCACCUACACUUUUAAAGCUGACUUCCAGCCUGCCCUCUGAAGGAGGCUUUCCCUGACGACACUGUCCAGAUGCUUCUCCUCCACUCUUGGGUCCAACAGUACCCUGGGCUUACUUUCAUCCUCAACCCUCUGCUACUAUUGUCUCACUUCCCUUCCAGGCUGCAAGCUCCCUAAGGGCAGAACAUCUUGUCUAACUCAGAUCAUUAAAGUGGCCCUGGAGCCAGACCCACCUGGGUGUGAACUUCUGUUUCUCUGCUUGUUGGCUGUGUACUCAUAGCUAUCUCCAACCCAGGAACAAUGUGGAAAAUGAUGCUUGAGAAAGCAAGUCUGUGUGCUCCGGGCCAUGUGGAAUCAGGGUCUGAAAGAACACCAGAGCUGCUCAGACAAAUGUGUGGACCUGUUUGGCCUCUUUAUUUUCCUUCUAAGUACCAAUUACUCAUCCUGGGCCCAAAUGGUGAGUCUUGCUCUGUCUUCAGGCACCAGACUGGAGUGCAGUGGUGGGAUCUCAGCUCACUGCAACCUCUGCCUCCCGGGUUCAAGUGA
rnacentral:lncRNA from 13 species